rnacentral:rRNA from 1 species
GUCUACAGCCAUGCCACCCUGAACAAGCUCAAACCCGUCUGAUCUUAAAGCUAACCAGGGUCAGGCCUGGUUAGCACUUGGAUGGGAGACCACCUAGGAAGACCAGGUGCUGUAGGCG